ACCCUCCUCCUUCAGGGGAGAGCUCUGGUUGGUGGAGCGCGGCCGCGACCACACAGCUGUGAGGGGAGGGGGGUGUGGGGGAGCGGUCGGGUUAGAGCCGGCGGGUUCGGUCUUCCAAUACCCCCUCCCCCCGCGAAGUGGGGGAGCCCCCGCACGGCGGGGGAGACCUGCAGCCCGAGGCGCGGAGCGGAGCGUCAGCUUCCAGCUGGUGGUUUGAUGGAAGUAGUGGCUUAAGGACCCCGCGCCCGCAUCGAAACAAUUAAAAAGGGAAAGAGGCUUGAAUCGAUGGUGUUGCGGGCCUCUCUCCGUUUCCUAUGGCCAACGCGCCCAGCGCGGGGCUGGCAGCUGCAGACCCCCGGGUACUGGCCUUAGCUGCUCAGGUCACUGAGAGCAGAGAACAGGACAUCCCCCUGCUACUUCUGAAGUUAAAGGGAAUUUUAAAUAGUGCUUCCUUGGGAUGUGAAGAAUCCAAAAAAAUUAAGCAAGAUAUAUAUGAUUAUGAUCUUACACAGUACUGCAUGCUGGUCCUUAGACAAGACCACUCUCGACUGCGUGGGGGCUGGGCUACUGCUGCCCAGCUAGCAGAGAUACUAAGUCAUUGUUGUGUAGGACUAGAGGUGAAAGGAGAUCCUGAGGAAUUCUACAAGAAAUUUCUUCCUUCAGCUAUAGACAACCUGCUGGUUUUGGGAAGACGCUUGCAAGCACGAUUUAUCCGAGCACUCAAGGAUGAAGAAAAACAAGAUUUUUUACGCUGGUUCCAAACAGUAACUGAUGCCAUCUGCUGGCUGUUCGGUGGGCAUAUUCAACUAGCAGCAUGCGUACUGCAAAAUGAUCACUUCCUGCAGUUGUUAACAACAGAUGAUGUUGAAACAGCAAUUACAAUGAUGUCUGUUUUACACAAUAUUUUGAGGGUCAAUAGUUCUGUCUUGCUUCAGGUUGAUGAAGAGACCCUUCACUCUGUUUUGGAUGAACUUGUUUAUAAGCUUUCAUCUACCACCAAUCCUGUCAUAGGGAAUGCUGCUACAAAACUGCUAUUAUCGGUGGCAAAAUUUUGCAAGCAGCUUGUGAAGUUACUCACAGCUCGCUACAAAGGAUUAAAAGGGCUUUUAAGUAAACAAUGGACUGGCAAAGGAUUUGACAGGGAUCUCAGUCAACUCUUGGACCUGCUGUACUUGGAACAAUCCAGUGGAAAAGGAGAAAUGCAGAGGCAGCAUCAAGCAGCUUGUAUAAUCCAGGCUAUGUGGAGGGGAUUUCAGACAAGAAAAAGGCUGAAAAAACUACCCCAAGCAGUGACCACUUUACAGAGAAGCUUCAGAGCUAAACGGCAACAGGAGCUGCAGCAUUUAAAAAAACAGAAGGAAGAUGAGGCUCUAAAACUGCAAAUGCAACUUCAGAGACAGAGGGCCAUGAGACUCUUCCAUGAGCGACAGCUGGCCUUACUGGAAAUAAUCCAUGCCAGUCAGGUAAAUAAGUACAUGGAGGAAAUGGAAGGGAAAUCAGCAUUAACUAUCCAGAGAUUCUGGCGAGGGUAUAGAGCAAGAAGAAAUUUUCAUCAACAGAAACAAUCUCUUAAGGAGUAUAAAGCAGCUGUUGUCAUUCAGAGAGCAGCUUGUAAAUUCUUGGAAAAACGAAGAAAGAGGAGACUUCUCUCUCCUUGGAAAGAUCCCAAGGGACUGACUGAUGAGCAGAGACUAGCUUUGCAGCAGAAGGUGGAUGACUACAUCAAAUUGCAUCCGGCUUCCCAAAUGUCAGAAGAAAUGAGUAAAGAAUUACAUAUGCAAGCCCAGGAAAAGCUGGCACAGUUCCUGCUGAGGAGCAGACUGGAUCAGAGAGCAGCGCAGCGAAGAGAGGCCUUACUGGCUCAGGUCAACACCGAUGUGGAGCUGCUAAUGAGUGCUCCAGGGUUAGCAAAGACCACAGAAAAAGAUCUUGAUGUCUUUAUGAGUCGAUCAAUCCCUGUAGCUACCAAGGCAAGACAAUCCCACAACACUAUGCUGAAGUACACUCGCUGGCCAUGGUGGAAGAAGCUUGGAGAUGAGUUUAUGGAGGAUGAUGUCAUUCCUGGUGAUGCCCUAAAUGCAGAACUGGGAACUCUUUUUAUUGGUGGAAGGAAACCCUUUUAGGUCCUCCUGCGCCACACGCAGGACAUGUUGCUGGCGAUUUAUUUCACUGCAGCUCCUUCUGGGAUAAAAUAUUCCUGCCUGAACAAUGGGAACAGAUGUAGACAGCUGAACGGAAGCUGCCUCCAGCCUGCUACCAGUAAAGCUAUACAGGAGCAUUAUUGAUACAGCUUCGGCAGUAGCAAACAACCUGGAAAAGAAAAUCCUUUGAUGGAUAUGGAUAAAAAGGAAGGGACAGUGACUGUUCUUCUGCUGAAGGUGCCACCAGAGUAAUGGAGCAGGAAGAAGGCAGCAAAAGGAACAAAAAAAAAGGAAUGCUCAGCCCUUUCAGAGCCAGAGACAAAGCAGUGUCCUUUGCUGGCUCCUGCAAUUGAGGAAAAUUCCUAUUUAUGCAGACAGAUAGACUUUUUUUUCAGCUUUAGGUGUAACUGGACUCUGCAAACAAGAGGAUGCUGAUCUCCAGCAGAGACACUGGCAUGCGCUUGAGACUAUGCUGCUAAGUCCAAGGGCGUCUCCUGGCCUUUCAGAUGGGCUGUAACAGGAGCUUUGAGCUGAGGACAGUAGAUAACCCUGAUGCUAUUUCACCUCUCGCCUCCAAGUCGUCUACUGCUGAUUUCCAUGGGAGCAGAAUCUGGUACAAACAUCUGCUCUCCACUGCAGAGUAUCACAUACAUCAAGUACAAGGAGAAAUGAAAGCUUUCUCCAAGUAGCGGGAUCGGGGCUAUUUAUAAAUUAGCAUGCAUCAGAAAAGGAGGCAGCUCUUUGCAGCGGGAGCUGCAAAGAUCAUUGCAAUAGGUCUCCAAGUUCUCCUUACCAUCCUUCUUGAUAGCACAGUAACACCCAGUCAUCCUCCUGACAUCUUUGCGUACAGUGAAAAACUCUGUGAUAAAGAGAUUGUUUACUAAAUGAGUGAUGUAUGGGCCCAGAUUUACCAAGGGGAACUAAAGGACAGGUGCCUGCCAUCCCCUGAAGGCAGGGCUGGGCUCACUCCAGCUGUCAUCUUAGGACAGGAAGGCAAAGUCUGGCAGGUGAGGACCAAGGUCAGGACACCGCAGCUCUGGCAAAUUUUCCCAGCUGUGCCGGAGAACUCCUCUGUGACCUUGAGCACAUUCUGUCUCUGCCUCUGUCUUUUCCUCUCUCAGAUGAGGCUUACUGAGGAGGUUUCAUAUGUUGCAUUUGUAAUUUAAGAGCCUUCAGUGGACGAUGCUGUGUAAGCCCAGUGCCACUGAAAUUGCUUUCUACUAAGGUGGAAUGGGAGUUUGACAGGCCCCAGGAAGAAAAAACAUUUGUAUAAUCAGAUGUUGAACAUGCAGAAAGAGCUCAGGGUUGCCAUGCUAUUUAUUUCUCUCCAAAUUCAGCUUUUCUUUGCAGAAUUUAGUUCUUCUCUAUUUAAUUACGUCCUCAAACAGGAACAAUGUCUUUACCUAUGCUUGAUCACUUAAUAAAACCUAUGAAAGCGA